GUACUUACCUGACAAGAGAGAUAUGAUGAGGAUAAAGGUAGUUUUCAAAAGGUAAGGCUUAUCCAUUGCACUCCGGAUGUGCUAACCCCUUCAAUUACCCCAAAUUCNGGAAAUUCAACUACAUAAUUUGUGGUAAUGGAGUACUGUGUCCAAACUCUUCUUCU
rnacentral:snRNA from 1 species